rnacentral:lncRNA from 1 species
GGGAUACAUUGCUUUGUAGCCAGUGAAAACAUUUUUCAAUUCUCUCUUGAACUCGUAGUUCUCUUUCCUCAUUCUAAUCCUCUAAUUUAUUUUGCCUUCCAAACCGCUUUGCCUUUUAGGACACGUGGGCUGAUGCUGUCUGGGCCGGUUGUAGAAUGUGAAUCGAGGUUUGACAGCAAGUUCUCCACCUUGUCAGGAUAAAAAGGACACAGAGUCCAGGAACAGGGAGGUGUGACUGGGUCAGGCGCUGCCCAUGUGAUCAGACGGGAGCUACUGAAGCAGUUAUGGACCAGAGGAAUCCUUGAGGACACUGCAAGCCCCACAAACGUUCGUACACAUUUGGAUGAAGCAUACUCCCUGAUAAAUGUGAUUCCCGGCAGGUUUAACACAUUUGGCAGGAAUGGCUGAGAAUUUCCCAUCAGAGAGCCAAAGGCGGAAGAUGAACCACCAAAAGAUAAUGUGGAGGCUGCGUAACAUGCGGCAGCACUUAACACAGAAUCAACUGAAUCAUGCACAACCACCGCAAAACCCAUUCCAGCGAGUGGUGAGCGAAGUCUGUCCUGAGCCUCACUCUCCGAGUCUGCUACACAUGAGCCUCCAGAACCAGGAUGGCGAGCGCUCAGCCGAUGGAGACCUGGGAAUAAAGCAGCAGCAAGAAGGAUCGGUGGCGUGUAACAGACGAAUGCAAACUACAUCGAACGAUGCACCUGCUGCUCGGCUCUCUCAUUCAUACACCACCCACACCCAUGGCUCAACAGAGCCGGCACAUCUCGGAGAGGGGACAACUCCACCAAGAACCAACCCACGAGAACAGGAAUCUCCGAAUAUACCAGACACACCGUGGGACUCCAACUUGGGGGAACUCUCAUUCACUUUGCAGAGAAAGCUGAAUUCACAGGUGCAGCUUUUCUCUCAAGCCAUUCAGCAAACCAUUACCGAGCACCAGGUGGCUGUGCAUCAGCUGUUUGAGCCUGAUGUCCCUGUUCCUGGGCAUAUCGACUUACAGGCACAGACCAUCACAGAUGGAAGCUUGAAGACCAACAGCUCAGAUGUUACAAGUACAAAUUAUUCAACAAUGGACGAAGACAGAUUGAUGGAUGAAUUUUGCAGACAAGCAAUGGUGAUGGUUGUGAAGGCAAGCAAUUCUUUACUGAUUGCUAAUUUCACCUUGGAGUGACGAUACGCUUCAUUAACAAAACAAAAAAAAAUUAAAAAAAGUUAUGUUUUAUAAAUAAACACGAUCCUAUUAAUUUCCAAUUAGUCACUGGCUUUAACACCAAUACAAAUUUUUAUUUAGGACCCUAAUCAUCAAAAAAGGUACACAUGUCAAACAAACAGUUUCAAAUGGAGCACCUCACCACCAUUAGAGCUUUUACAUUGCAUCAGAUGUGGCAAUAAAUGUGAAUUUUUGCUCCCAGCUUGACGACAGAAAACAC